CUAAGUACCCGGAGGAAGAGAAAGCAAAUGCGAUUUCCUGAGUAGCGGCGAGCGAAACGGAAUUAGCCCAAACCAAGAGGCUUGCCUCUUGGGGUUGUAGGACACUCUAUACGGAGUUACAAAGGAACGAAGUAAAUGAAGCGACCUGGAAAGGUCCGUCGAAGAAGGUAACAACCCUGUAGUUGAAACUUCGUUCCCUCUUGAGUGGAUCCUGAGUACGGCGGAACACGUGAAAUUCCGUCGGAAGCUGGGAGGACCAUCUCCCAAGGCUAAAUACUACCUAGUGACCGAUAGUGAACCAGUACCGUGAGGGAAAGGUGAAAAGCACCCCGGAAGGGGAGUGAAAGAGAUCCUGAAACCGUGUGCCUACAAGUAGUCAGAGCCCGUUAACGGGUGAUGGCGUGCCUUUUGUAGAAUGAACCGGCGAGUUACGAUCCCAUGCAAGGUUAAGCUGAUAAGGCGGAGCCGUAGCGAAAGCGAGUCUGAAUAGGGCGUUUAGUA
rnacentral:rRNA from 1 species